UACGCCUCCUCCCGCGUCUCCCCCCAUCUCGCCUAUGCAGCACCGUGGCUGCACGCCGCCAGCGCCGUCUGCUGCAGACCCACUCUCAACCCCCUGCGGUUCUUAUUGGUCUCUUCUUUGGAUGAGCUUUCUGAACACAAUCUGAAGCUUCCAAGAAGCAAAUUCCAUACUCUACUACUGACAUGCUUUCCGGUGUUCUGGUGAGAGAAAAUUUAGAAGCCAAGUUGUGCUAUAGGACAUAGGCAAGAUCCGUCAACGGCGAGGUACCUGAGUCUGAUGCAAUUCAGGAGAAGCUGAUGCCUGACAAGUACACCACAGCAAAUGUCCAAGUGAUUCUCCUGACCACGGCGGGGUACCCAGGUCCAAUGUGAUUAAGAGGUAGAGACGGCAGUAGCAGAGUUGAUCAG